GCAAAGAAGUGUUUUUGUCAAAUUGUUUGCAAUCCACCCGUGAAGCUUUCUUGAAAAAUGUAAAAUGGUGAUAUUUAGAAUAUAAAUUUAGCCCUAAAAUAAUGAUUAUUUAUAUUAGUACUGGAAAGAAGUUACUUAUUUAGCAAACACAAACUCAAAAAAAUCUAGAAUAGUUUUUUAAACUGAAAAAUCGAAAUGGCGGAGAAGGAAAUGCAGGCCCAUGACAUGGUGCGUAGGCGUAAUUGGUCGCGUGCCAUCGCUCUGUACGACCAAAUUCUUGCUCAAAUUUCCGGUUCGACUGCUGCCUUAACCAAAUCGCAGAAAGACAGACAAAUUGCAUGUCUUCUUGGGCGGUGCGAGUGUCUGCUAGAACUAGCAAAAUAUGAAAACUGUUUAACAGACGCUCGCAGGGUGCUAACAUUGCUUGCUGCUGAUCAAAAUGACUGUAUAGCCAGUGUUUCGAGAACUCGCAGAUGGUUGAUUCAUUCCUUAUGCAAACUGAGAAAAUUUACGGAAGCGGAGCAAAUAGCAAAAGAAUGGAUAAGUGAAAUUUCAGGCCAACCAAGUUUCGCAGAUAUAUCGAAAACCAUAGAAAGAUACAGAACUAUAAUACAGAUGGUCAGUGGACAGAAGGCAAAUCAAAAAAUUCCGUCGUCUCGUCUAGAUGAUGAAAUGUCGAUGCUUGAUACAAAACUUGAUCAUUGGGCAACUAACAAUUUGCCCUUGGACAAGUUUAGCAAGUUGUUGAGCAAUAAAGGGCUUAAAAAACGGGAAAACAGUGGCCACAACGGAGUAGUGAACAACAGCAGCAGUAGUUGCAGUAGCAACAGCAGCAACGGCGCUGGAGUUCCUCUGAACACAAAUACCGCCAUUAUUCAAAAGACCACGGAAAUGUUGGAUAAUAUAAAAAUUGAAAACAGCGAUGGAACAAUUUCAUGCUCCUACUGUGCGAUAUCGUGCAUGAGUAAGAACGAACUGCGACAACAUUGUCAAACCGAAAAUCAUCAAAACGUCAUCAUGUCCGACCAAGGUCGCGAUUGGAAGUGGCGGCCCCCUCCCCGUGGUUUCACAUUGGACACCUACAUAUUGUGUGAAAGUUUUUCCGAAUCACAAUCUUGUCAUUAUGGCAACCAGUGCGUAGAAGCUCAUGGCUUGGAAGAACUUAACGAAUGGAAGGAGAGGUUCGAAUAUCGAAGAAUGAGAUUGCAAAGAGCGUGUGAAAAAGAACUCUAUGGCAAAAGCUACACAGAGGAAAUACUCGAAAAAUGGAUACAAGCAACUAGUCCGGAUCGUAUUAUGCGUGAAAAAGUAGAUGACGUGGAGGAUGUUUGCAACAAUGAACUUGUUACAAGCAUCAGCUCAAAAUCAUCGAAACGUGAAUGGAUUUUCGUAUUAAAGUCGACGAAACCGCUUAAAGCUGUGGCACUUCUGCAAGAUGCCCAUCGCAACCACUUUGCGAUAAAGUCGAUAAUUUCCGCAGACAGAAAAUCGUCUGACCUAAAAUCCGACCAGGAAUGGGUAUCCACAACGUUCAAUGAUAAGAAUGUAACAAACUCUGUUGAUUUCUCGCAGCAUCGUUUGGAACAAAAGAUAACAAUUGAAUUUAACACAGAUAUUUAUGGAACGUUUCGACAGUCGGUAUGUUUUGAUUUUGACGUCGAGCCGUUAUUGGUUAAGCAUCUGUGUGUGGACGUUGUUCCAGUUGGAGAUGCAGAGAAAAUCGAAGAAAUCAAAAAGGAUAUAAUCAAUUCCUCAUCAACUAGAUGGGAUGAUUCAAAUGCUAAUUUGGUAAAAUUCGAGACCACAAUAGGAACUCAUUUGAAGACUGAGGCAUUUUUAAGUGAUGUGAAACAUGAAAAGGAAAUGCUUGAGCGUUACCCUUGUCCCCGAGCUGCUACUUUUACACUUACCCAGUCAACAAUAGUAGAGAGACGUCUUACUCAGAACAACUAUAGUUCCCGCAUACACGAAUUACUGUAUGUGGAAGAAAUAGCUCGAUAUGAACAGAUUGCACGCUACAAUCUCACUACAAAACUAAAAAUAACUUCCAACUAUAUUUUAACACCCGCCGGAAUGGCCACAAGUACAGCUAAGUAUUCCCUAUCUGGUGAGCUUUUUGCUCUGAUGACCUUGGGCAAAGAUAUCUCAGAGGACACAUCUGCAGGGCGCUUGAUUCUAUCCAACUGUUCGAGUGUCCACGUUUCGGCUCUGCAAAGUAACGAAACAAAAGACGUCAACAAAAAACGUGACGUAUUUGAAGCAGUUAUUGAGGACAAAGGGAAAAACGUCAUCUAUCUGAAACUAUCGGCCAAGUGUGUAGAGAGUAUGGCUCUUAAAGCUGACACUGAUGCCGAGGUGGACAUUCAAUUUCAGUUGAAUCGACUUCCCUACUGCGAAUGGCACAAUGCCGUAGACAAAAUCACGGAUUUUAAAAUAAUUUUCCCAGACACCGAAAUCGAGCCAAAUAUUCCAUGGACCCCGAAGAAACAAUGGUCCGAAACCAGUGAUCUUAGGCUGAAUGCUAAGCAGAGAGAAGCAGUGAAUGCUAUAACGACCCAGUUGGGAGUUAAACUGCCACCCAUUCUUUUGAUUGGCCCCUUUGGAACUGGGAAAACGUACACACUGGCACAGGCUAUAAAACAAUUGUUAACGCAACCGGAGGCGAAGAUUUUGAUUUGUACUCAUUCUAAUUCAGCUGCUGAUCUCUACAUCAAGGAGUACCUGCAUCCGUGGAUAGAGAGUGGAAUGGAGGAAGCGAAGCCUCUCAGAGUGUAUUAUCACAAGCGUUGGGUAGCCACGGUGAACAGUGUCGUUCAGAAGUACUGUAUAACAGAUGGUGUUGGUAACUUUAGGCGCCCUACGGUGGAAGAUAUAAUGAAACAUCGCAUUGUUGUUGUCACAUUAAGUAUAUCGAUGGAGCUCUCAACAUUGGGCCUUCCCAAAGGCUACUUCACGCAUAUAUUUCUCGAUGAAGCUGCCCAAGCAAUGGAAUGUGAAGCAAUUAUGCCUUUGGCUCUAGCCAACGAGAGUACGCGUAUUGUUUUAGCCGGAGAUCACAUGCAAAUGAGUCCGGAACUCUUUUCGAAUUUUGCUAAAGAACGUAAACUUCAUAUAUCGCUACUAGAGCGACUGUAUGAUCAUUAUCCGUCGAAUUUCCCAUGUAAAAUUCUACUCUGUGAAAACUACCGAGCUCACGAAGCUAUUAUUAAAUUUACAUCUGAACUUUUUUACGAACAAAAACUAAUAGCGUCUGGAAAGCAACCGCGCCACGAGCGUUUCUACCCAUUGACGUUCUUCACUACCAGAGGUGAGGACGUUCAAGACAAGAACUCAACAGCUUUCUAUAACAACUCCGAAGUGUAUGAGGUAGUGGAGCGAGUAUGUGAAUUGCGGAAAAAGUGGCCUCUUUCAUGGGGUAAAAUGAACGAUGCCAGCAUUGGUAUUAUGACUCCAUAUGCCGAUCAAGUAUUUCGGAUACGGUCCGAGUUGCGUAAGCGUCGUAUGGGUGGAAUUUCAGUUGAACGUGUAUUAAAUGUGCAAGGCAAGCAAUUCCGAGCAAUAUUUCUUUCGACAGUUCGGACUCGGCGCACUUGUAUGCCGAAUAAUAAUUCUUCUAGCACAUCGGUUAGUGACGACGCCGAUUAUGGAUUCCUCAGCAAUUCAAAACUGCUUAACACGGCUAUAACUCGAGCACAGAGUCUUGUGGCGGUGGUAGGAGAUCCUGUGGCUUUGUGUUCGAUAGGUCGGUGCCGUAAGGUUUGGGAACGUUUUAUAGAAAUUUGUAAUGAAAAUAAGUCUCUCUUCGGAAUAACAUGGUCGUAUUUACGUUCGCAGCUCGACGGAGUUGAGUUAAAGCGCAGCUAUGUACUUAAUCCAUUAGCUCCUGAAUUUAUACCGCGUGCUUUGCAACCCGAAGCUUAUUUGCGUGACCAAACAGCAAUGUAUUUAUUAAGUGGCAGCAAUCAGCAUAGCAUAGCAGGCGCACAUCAUCAACCCAAUAAUCAAAUUCCUUCCAUGUACGGUAAUUUAGGUGGUCCCUAUGCUAUGUUGAACCAAUCUCAGAUGGCUCAAGUUGCAAAAUCUGCACACCACACCCAGUUUCAUCAUGGCAACAUUCCUAUGCGACCAAUCGGUCCACCGCAACACAAUCCAAGUUUUAACAUGCAAGCCCAGAAUCGGCCACCAGCGCACAUACCACAAUCACAACAACAGUUUCCUCCUUACAUGAUUUGGCCCCAACAACAACAGCCGCAGCAGCAACAAGCCAAUGCUAACGUCCCCAACCAAAUGAUGCGACCAGCUUAUCCGGGCCAGCAGCCUCCCAUUCAGCCGCCUCAAACCCAGAAUCCCAACGCAAGCUUGUGGGGACCCCCACCGCAGAAUAAUCCAUGGGGAGUGAUUCCAAAGUCAGGUGUGCCGAAUCCCAAUCACCGCCUCCCAAAUCAAAUGCCAAAUUCGGUGUUACCUCAACAAAAUACUUCUCAUAACUUAACUAUGUCUAAUGUACCACGCAAUCAAGUCGGCGUUCAAUCACUGCAACAGCACCAGCUGCCAAACUCUGGACCGUUACCAGUUCCAAAUCAAUCGCAACCCCCGAUUCGAGGUCAAAAUGCGGAUAUAGGCUACAUUAAGAAGUCGCUAUAUCAGCACCCAAAUCCGUCUGCAAACAUUGGGUACAACAACCCAAUCAACCAGCCGAUUUUGCUUAACAAUCGAUUGAACAACUCGUUUUCGAAUGGACCCAUAAGUCCUGCCACUGGCGGUCCUGGUCUGGAGCCUUUCGUAAGACAGGGUCAGAAUGUACCUCUGAAUUUGCAUCAUCAAAAUAGUGUGAUCGCCGCCAACAACGGUGGCGGCCAUAAAGACAAAGAUUUUCAGUUCUUGAACAACGUACAUAUUCCCGUCAAUAUUGGAGGAUCUCUAUUUCAGGCACCGCCUACAGCCUCGGCUGUGCAAAACCCAACAUCUCAUUUGCCAACUUUUCAGGAAUACAGCUCCCUUUUGCCGCCCAAUAUGACGAUCUAUGAAAUGGCUUUCGAACCAAAGGAGUCCCAGUACAAAUGGUACCUAAAGCUUCUUGAAAUUCAUGGUCAAGAGUCUGCCAACAAAUUCACCGAAAUUUUGCGCCAGGCAAUGGGAAUAAUGCAUAACUCGAAACCCAACAGUGUUCCUUCUCUCCAAACAAACCAGCAGCAACAAUUAUCCAUGCAAAUGACCCAGAACCAACAUCAUCAACAUCAUCAUCAACAGCAGCAGCAGCAGCAACAACAACAACAGCAACAACACUCACUUUCAAUGCCCCGAUCUUCAAGUGGUUUCGCAGGACCACCGACAAAUCUCUUAGCAUCUAACCGCGGUGGCUCGCCACCUCCAUCCACUGAGCCUUCAAUGAACUUCAAUCAACAAAUUGACAUGGUAUUUAAUUCGUUAAUGAAUGGCAACGAUAUAAGUCAGCCGAUUUUGCGAGAAAUAUUGGGAAUGGUAGGUAGUGCUGGUGCAGGUACUGGUGCUGGUGUUGGACCUAAUGUUGGAACUGGUGUUGGAGCUGGAGCUGGAGGUAUUAACAAUACAAGUAUUGUUCCUAGUGGAAAUAUGAAUGCUGUUAAUAUUCAACCCAAUGUUAAUAUGAUGGGGAAAGAGUUCCCUAUUGCUCUCCAACAAAAGGCUGCUCCUUCACCACUAUUUCCAAAUCAACAAAACGUCAUGGCUGGAAACAAUGAUUUUUUGUUAGGAAAUGAUCUCCCAGGUACAUCAACACCACGAGUUGAAUCAGUGCCCCUCUACCGUCGGCAAGUCAUGAACAAUGGAAACUCUAGCUAUCACGGUUCCAAUUCGUCUUCGUCGACUGCUCACUCCAUUGCAUCGUCCACACCCGACAAUCUUUUGGACAGCGGUAUCGGCAGUAGUAACCAAAUGCACUCGUCCGGCAAUCUUAUUGACACUAUUUUUAACAUCACAGCAUCUAACGACUUGUCAGCGGCUGCUGCUGCAGCAGCUUAUCAAAACAGUUCAUUUCAGAAGUUGUUUUACAAUAACUUUCCCCUAAAACUAAACGAUUUAGAUAUGAGAAAUGAACGAUCUCUGCAACAACAGCCGCGGCAGCAUCAUAUCUCAGUUAUGCAUCCACAACAGCAGCAGCAAGUCCAAAUGCAAAUGCAUAACCACGGCGAGCCACGCAACACAACCUAUGCAGCUGUGCUGAGUCAAGGGAACGUCGUUCCAAACUCUCAACUUCAUCAACUCCAUCAUUCGUCCCAAGGACACGUGGUCAGCGACGAGAAAGAUCCAUUUGCUGCAAUCAGAGAGCUUGGUCAAGGUACCAAUGGCUUCUACAAUUAUUUUCAAUAGACAUUAUUUUAUUUAAACAAUUAUUAUCAAUAUUCUAGGCCUACAAUUAGUUAAACUCUUAAGAUAAAAAAUUAAAGCCUAGUAAAACAAAAACAAAAAAAAAUCAACAAAAAAAAUGAAAAAUAAAAAAAAAAUAUUGUGAAUAUUUUAAAACUAAUAAUUAUUAUGAAAUAGUUUAUUUGCAUUUCGCUUAUGUUCUUUUCAGUAAAAAAAAAUUAAACAAAAAAAAAAAAACAUAAAUACACAAACUGAAAGAAUAUAGUUCAUAGAAAGUGAUUGAAAAUCAUAAAUUGGCAUAACAACAUAUAUUAUGUACUUCAGAUAAAUGUAGUUAUAAUUUGAUUAAAUAAAAAGUAAAAUAGUUUGUAAAAACGAACAUUAAAAUAUUUAUAUAUAUGUAUGUAGAAUUUUAAGUACAAGGAAAACCCUACUAUAUAAACAUACAAAAAUAUAAUUAUUAUAUAUAAAAUAUUUGUAUUCACAACAAAAUAAACUGAACAACCAAGAUCAACAAACAAAAAACACAAAAUACAAACAAAAAUUAUUAUUGGAUAUGCGCACUUUAAUUGUUGACAUUUUUGUAUUUAAUAGAACGGAUUGAUAUGCAAAAUGUUAACCGAUGAACAAGAAAAAGUUACAGAAUCAUGUUUCAAGAUUAUUAAAAAAAAGCAAGUAAAAAAACGUGAACAAAUAUUUUUAGUUCUUGAACCAUAAAUAUUUAGUUUUGAUUAUUAUUCUGAGAAAACAAAUUACUUGACGACUGAUGAAUAAACAAAGUGCCUGAAAAACCAUUCAUGGGAUGUGAUAUCAUGUGAAAGUGUCAAACGGAAGGAUGUCCAACAAUACUUAAUGCAGCGGCACGUAUACAUACAUAUGUG